CAAGCUAACACAAGCACGUCGAGCGGUAAUGCCCUUUGGGGGUACACGAGCGGCGAACGGGUGAGUAACACGUGAGCAACCUGCCCCUGACUCCGGGAUAAGCAGUGGAAACGCCGUCUAAUACCGGAUACGACCCUCCUGAGCAUGGUGGGGGGUGGAAAGUUUUUUCAGUCGGGGAUGGACUCGAGGCCUAUCAGCUUGUUGGUGUGGUACCGGCAUACGAAGGUGAUUACGUGUUGCCAGCGUGAGAGGGCGACCGGCCACACUGAGACUGAGUCCCGACUCAGACUCGUGCCAGAGGCAGCAGUGGGGAAUAUUGCGCAAUGGGCGAAAGCCUGACGCAGCGACGCCGCGUGGGGGAUGACGGCCUUCGGGUUGUAAACCUCUUUUACCACUCACGCAGGCCCCACGUUUUCGUGGGGUUGACGGUAGGUGGGGAAUAAGGCCCGGCUAAAUACGUGCCAGCAGCCGCGGUAAUACGUAGGGUCCCAGCGUUGUCUGGAAUUAUUGGGCGUAAAGAGCUAGUCGGCGGCGUGUCGAGUUUGCUGUGAAAGUCCCGGGCUUAACCCCGGUUAUGCAGUGGAUACGGGCCUACUAGAGGUAUGUAGGGGAGAGUGGAAUUCCCGGUGUAGCGGUGAAAUGCGCAGAUAUCAGGAGGAACACCGGUGGGGAAGGCGGGUCUCUGGGCCUUACCUGACGCUGAGGAGCGAAAGCAUGGGGAGCGAACAGGAUUAGAUACCCUGGUAGUCCAUGCCGUAAACGUUGGGCGGAAGGUGUGGGGACUUUCCACGCGUGGCUCCCCGAACUUACGCCUUUAAUCGCCCCGCCGGGGGAGUCCGGCCGCAGGGCUAAAACUCAAUGGAAUUGACGGGGGCCCGCACAAGCGGGGGACCAGGUUGUUUAUUUCAUGCCACCGCGAAAAACCUUACCACUCUUUGAAUCCACCCGUGUACCUGUAGAUAUAUUGGGUGCAUUUGGUUGGUCUGUGACAGGUGGUGCAUGGCUGUCGUCAGCUCGUGUUGUGAAAUGUUGGGUUAAGUCCCGCAACGAGCGCAACCCUUGUUCUUGGUUGCCAGCGGUUCGGGUGGGAACUCAUGGGAAAUGGCCGGGAUCAACUGGAAGAAGGGUGGGAAGAACUUCAGUUCUUCUGGCCCUUUAUGUCUUGGCUUGCAAACAUGCUACAAUGGCCGGAACAAUGGGCGUGACAUCCCGUGAGGUGGAGCAACUCCCUAAAUACCUCUCACUCUUGAUAGUGGUCUCCGCAUCUCCUCCCUGAGAUCGUGAACUCUCUUAAUCUCACAGAUCAAUGCCGCCGCGAAUACUUCCUCCGGCCUUGUUGUACCGCCCGUCGUCCAUGGUAGUGGUUUGCAACACACGAAACUAGCUUCCCUUCCUUAGGGCACUUACUGAUUUAAGAUUCAUGACUGCGAUUGAAG
rnacentral:rRNA from 1 species